GCUACCUCUCCUCGCAGAUGCAACGAGCAGGAACGUGUCGGUGUGGAAGGUCUGGUUGUAGACUCUCUGCCCACUGUCCACUAUCACAGCUCCUCUCAUUGCACAUACAAGACACAGACACCUGUCAACCAGAGACCGUUUCUCUGUUCACAUAAACAUUUAAAGUAGAUCUCAGUCUGCAAGCUUUCGAGGAGAUAAAGUUUUGUGACUUCCACAAUGAAGCUGGGACUUGAUGGAGAUUAAAUUCCUCAUGACUAAGGAAAUGCUUGAGACAUGAGACAUGAGAAGGAAAUGUUUCAUUGAGGCUUGAGACAUGAGAAGGAAAUGCUUCAAAUUUUCAAACAGGGAGGAGGUUGCUAGUACCAUUUUUUUGUCAGCUUCUUCGCCUAGAAUUUAAGCUCCAAUUGACAGAGAUAAUUUUUUUAAUUCAUUUGAUCCCGUGUGCCUAAGUCAGAGAUGGCAUCUAGUAAAUGUUCAAUGCAUAUUUGUUGAAUGGCUUGUGGCCACCAUCACCACAGUCAUCAUUACUAUAAGUCACAGUGCUCUUUCAAUUGUGAGUCAUAAGAAUCCAGAGCAAUAUUUCAGCUUCGUCUUCACCAACAUCCCCAGCCUCCUCCCUAUUCAAGCCUUUCACUGAGCCGCUGACAAGAGGUAAUUUGAAAUGGAUUUUAAUUUCCUCUCCUAUUUCUGCUACUGACUCAUGUCACCCUACCCUAUUUUUCUCAAGGAGUUUCUUGAGCAGCAAAGUGCCCCUAAAUGUGAAGAGCAAGAAAAAGAAGGAAACUUAAAGUGGUCUAUAUAAAACCUCAGUGUUUGCAGCUGUAGACUUUGGUCACUGAAAACUUAGGAUUGCUUUUUUUGCCUUUCCUUAUAAACCUCUCUCCCCCACCCCGCUCUCUCUCUCUCUCUCUCUCUCUCACACACACACACACACACACACACACACCCCUCUAGGGCCAUAGAGAAGAUAUGCCAGUGAUUCAUCCAAACAGCCAUGGUAAUGCCUUUACAAAUAUUGGAGCCAUAGACAGAGUAGCAUGCAAAAUUUCUGCAGCAAAAUAUCAUUGGAACGAAGUUCAGUCCAAUGAGUCAUAAGAAAACUACCCCUUUGCUGCCAUCUCUAUGAAAUGAUUCAUUCCUACAAGCUCUAAGGAGAAAGGACCUACAUCUCAGUCUUGGUUAACCCAGCAUGGCUACUUGUCUGAAUCAUGCCCCAGGACUCACCAUGGAUGCUGAGACCCAGCCCAAGGUGCUCAUUUAAAGAUGAUACUAAUAUUUUUAAUAACUACAAAAUAAUAUUUAUUGAUUAAUAUCAGCACAAAUACUGUGCAGCAACAAAAAACCUCUUUAUUUCAAAAAUUCUAUUUGUUCUUCAAGAAAAUAUUUUGUGUUCCACAUCACUCUGUAUCUGUUUCUGGUAUUGCAGAAAUCAUAGUCUAUAUAAUAAUUAUCUCACCAUACAUUCAUCUCCCUUUGUCUGACUCAGAGCUUCUUUAAGGCUGGGAUCAGUAUCUAUAUUUGUAUCACCAGCACAUAAUGCAGCACCUGAAGUUAAGUAGGUGUUCAAGAAAAUGGACUCUGAAUAAAUAAGUGGCUUUUUUAUUUCAGUGAAGCUACCAUAUUUCUCCCCUUCAGCCUGGACACAUACAUGUGAGUGCUCCCACAUAUGACUGAAUAUCUGCUUUACCUAAAAUUGAGUUUUAGGGUUUUGUGCUCAUUAAAUUCUAGCUCCAAGUGUGUUGUGCAAGUAAAUUAGGGCAGGAGAUAGAAAUGCCAUAUGAGACCUAUAUCCA
rnacentral:lncRNA from 10 species